CAGAAAUGACAUCUCUGGCUCACUGGUUUAACAUUUGUCCGAAGAGGAUUAUUUGAGGUGCCACAAAUGCGUUUGGUGUUUAUGCGUUUGGCAAGUUCAGUUUCCUCUAAAGUAAAGUUAGAGUAGAGUAAAGCUUUUGAUUUUAUUGGCCAUAAUGACACCAAACCCCCACCACAUGGACAUGUAUUCUUAAGCCAUCCUCUUUUACAACUGUGCCGCUGGUGUGCUUUGACUCCAUGUCAUGAUAUUACAAGUAAUGAAUUGGACAUGCCAUAAUUUGCCUCAUGAGUUAGGGACUAUGUUAUUGCAUUCAACCUUGAACAUGACAAUAGGGCCUUAAAUCUUUAAAUCCCAACAAAAUCCAUGAGAGGAGUUGGUUUGUCACGUUCUUUGUAGACAAUGAGGUUGUAACAAUUUCAGAUUUCAGGUGCCAGUACUCAAAACAAAACAAAACUUUUUGUUCGAAAUGACCUGUUUUGAACAAGAGAUGAACAAAAACAUGCAGUGUUUUGAGUUCGUAUGGCGUGGUGUGUGCAUGCCCAGUGUGAACUGUUUGCAAGUAGUUCACAAGUUCACAGACAUCCCCUUCUGCAAUUCGUCCAUCCAAAUCGCAUGCUUGGUUGUGUCGUGGUUUUUGACUGGUUUUUAUUUGUAGGAUAUCUAAAAAAUAGAAGCCAUUAUGUAAUAUUUUAUAGGCAUAAGGGCCCAUGUACCUACAAGAUAUAUUCUCCAAAUAGACGGUUGUUAGUGGAAAUAUUAGACCAAAUCAUGCAGUGCAUAAAAAUGUGUUGUGGUUGAUUCUGUUUCAAUCAUGGCAUGUCUGUUCAUUGACAAUUCUGUAAAUUUGAGGGGUCACAAAUAGUAAGGACAGCAUUUUGAGCAGUUCAGUUAUCCAGACGAGCAUCUCUGUGAAUUCCACGGUUUUUCCAGGGAGGGAAUAAUCUACAUUUGCAAUUUGUCGCAAAUGACAAGCACAGCAGUCAGUCAGUCCAUUAGUGUAGUAAAAACUGUGCAUUGGGUUGCAUUUUUUGGCAAUUGACACAUUUUUAAACACCACUGGGGAUGCCAAGAGCCUCAGCAAAGGCACAAUGUGCAUAAAGUGUGCUUUGCCAUGCUUGUCUAAUACAUACCAAGGAAGGUUUUUACAGAAUGGCAGCUACCCUAUUUAAUAGGUUAAGAAAUUUAAAUUUAAGGUUCAAAGCGGAGUACAGUCUCUUAUUUCCUCAUUCUUUUGGGGUUGCAAAUUAAGCUGAUUUAUGCAACUGUCUUAUAUUUUGUAUAGGUGUCUACUUAUUUAUUCAUUAAAGCAUGAUUACUCAAUUAAGCAUGCUUCAAUCUGGGGAAAAUACAAGAUCUUCACCCGAUACAUUUUUUUAUCCUAGUCCUGACUUCUAGGCUCUUUCCUAUGCAGUCACCCCCUACCACUGUGAUCUAUCAAAAGACAUAAGUGUUAAUAAAAGCAAUAAUAGCCAGCUACAUUGAGAUGUUAACACUUACAGGACGUGUUAUAAUUAUUGUUUUUCAGCAGCGACAUGGUUCCUAACUAGCGACGUUUUCGGAGGAGAGGCUUGGAGCAUCGCACGAUGCCACUGUGACAUAAUGGCAACCAGCAAACCAAGUUUGUUUUAAUGGAACACUAGGAACAGUUACCCACAGUGAGUCAUCACUAACUAGGGCGACAGAAAACAGUCAACAUGCUGGCAAGCUAAACUAUGAAAAAAUUGGCUAGCCCAUUAUCUCUAACCAAUGCUCAUUGAUGACAAAUACCUAGGAGAAUAGUCAGAAAGUUUCACUUAUGCCUACCCCAUAGUAGGUGUAGCAUUUACACUCAGACGUAGCGUUACGCCCAGUUGGUGCAACAGGUGUAUUUUUUACGUCUGACUUUCUACUGCACACAUUCUACACUGAACGUACUGUUAAGAGCCGCCGUACGUUUAGAGAUGGUGCAGCCCUAGAUUCCCAGCGUUUCUUAAAGGGUAUUUUUAUACACUUCAGUUUCCCCACUUUUUUUGUACAUAUCUUCCCCAGCAUUUCAGAGCACCAUAAUGUUUGGGACAAAUGGCUUCAUAUGUUUCUGAUUAGUCAGGGGUCUAUUGCUUCCUUAGUGCUGGUAUAAGAGCUUUCAUUAUCUAGACUUGAUUCUAGGCUUUUGGUAGCCUUUGGAGUCUUAUUACCAUUUGUCAACAUGAGGACUAAAUGGUACAUGGUAAAUGGAUUUAUAUAGCGCUUCUAUCCAAAGCAUUUUACAAUUUAUGCCUCGCAUUCACCCAUUCACACGCCAACGGUGAAAGGCUGCCAUGCAAGGUACCAAUCAGCUCAUUGGGAGCAAUUUGGUGUCUUGCUCAGGGACACUUCGACACGCCCAGGGCGGGGGAUUGAACCACCAACCCUCCGACUGCCAGACAACCGCUCUUACAUCCUGAGCUAAUCGCCCCCUGAGUUGUGCCAAUAAAAAUCAAGGAAGCCAUCAAAAUAUCAACUAAUAAAUCAAUCAAAUUAAUAUCAUCAUUUUAACUACGUUAACUUAUUUGAUGAGUAAUUAAGAAAUAGGGAUAUACACAGUUUGCGCGUGUGUGAUAUUUUAUUUAAAACGCUAUUCUACAACUAUGGACAAGUCUCCUGAAUUAAUGAAAACUAGUGAAAGUGCAUUUCUUGUCACUUGUUUGGUAGAUGAUGAGGUUUUCUUCCUACACUUGUGACCCAGCACAGUGACAAUAUAACAAUCCUGACCUAGCACUAUCUAGCCUACUUGCACACUACUGUAGCUAAAUACUUGACAACCCCAUGUAUCCAACAGUGAGGCUGCUAUUGUUGCUGAGGGGGAUGGCAGAACUACGAGAAAAUGAUGUCAUAUUUGACAAAAUAUAGGUCCCAUCCAGGCAUGACUGCACGCUUCCCUGCGAAAUAAUUUGCACUAACCAUUCUUUGGAAGGAAGGCUUGUUUAAAAAAAUGGGAGGGAUACAGGCACCCUGACCAGAUGGGUGGCACAUACUUGGCUUUGUGUUGCUCAGGGAUAUCGGAGGGUUACAGCUCGCAGGGUUAUAUAGUAUUGUUCACGGAGUGGCUCCUGCAGGUCUGGGCACCUGUGACUAAAGGUCAUAAGCAUGUGUAUGAAUGGGUCUCCUCAGCCCCUGCUCUGCACGUUGGUGGUUUGCGGCUGUGGUGUGAAAAGAAUUGGCUGGCUAGCAAGCUUGUGUUUCAGAGGAGAACCGUGGAUUGCCUCCUCAGCUAGCAUCAGAGCCAUAUAUGAGCAUGCUUGUACACUGUUUGCAAAUUGUAGAGGUAUUGGGGAUAAAUCCCAAUUAAAAAAAAAAAAAUUAGCCAACCCGAAGUCUUUAGUUGGGAAUGACAAUCUUUUCCUGGAAGUGCAACUGAAAUUAAAAUCAAGUGAAUACCAAAGAAUACCAUUCAGAGGAAUUACUGAAUUAAUAAACUUCUAUUAACACUUACAAACACACUGUUGGUUCUGACCAAUGCUGGUGCUUCCUCAACCAUAGGCCUGGUUCCCUGACACUCAACCUGAGACAAUAAAUACCUAUAUAAAUAAACUGCUGAUGUGUGACAAACCUAUCAUUUAGUAAACUCUGUAAAAGCUCAACUACAAAAGUGAGUACCAAAAAUUGAUAUCGAUAUGCACACUCUGCAUGAUGUUUCCUCAGAGUCUGCAUACGUGCUUGAAAUCUCUGUAGACCCUGGGUGGAGAGAAGCAGAGUAUAAAAACCUCUCCCCCUUCCCCUAAGCCCUCUCUCACUUCCCCUUGCCUCUCUCUCUCCUAGCCCAUCUCCCCCACUUCCCCUCGCCACAUGAUUAUGGAUCCAACUAAAGUGCACUUUCACCUCCUGAACCAUUGUAUUUGUUACUAGAAUGAAGUAGGCAUGAAGCGGCAGUAACAUUUGUUUUGGAGUCAUGCUUCAAGUAUUAUAACUACAGUGUAGUCUGCUCUGUGCCCUGUGUGUGGUUUCGGCUACUACUGGUUGUGAUGAAACAGUUGAAAAGCAAAAGGUAGCCCUAGUUUUCAAACACAACCCAGGUUUUAAUGUCGGUCUUUAACUGUAUUUGAGAGUAUCCCCUGCAUAACAAAAAAGAAAGAAAACAAUCCUACAUUCAAAAAUAUGGAAGUCAUUUGACGGCUAUUAAAAGGGAGGUUAAAAUACUUUUUUUAUUUAAAGCACAUAGCACUAACUUCUAAUUUUGCACUCACAAUCAAUUCCUAGGUUGCACCUCUCGAUUUAUAAAUUACUGUAGUGUUGCCUUUUUUGUAACACACUUGUAAUCUUCAUAAAAUUCCAUAACAAGUCCCCGCUCCCCAUAAUACUGCAUGUUCUUUUGCCAAUUAAUUCUGAUUAAAUGUGUCAAUUGACAUUCAAUCACUCUGGCUGUUUAAACAACCAUGAACGCUCAAAAAACUUUGCCCAAACAUUGCCCAAACCUGGCUUUCAUCAGGCCUAAAUUAGCUUCAACUCUCAAACCACAAUCCAGCUUUGCAAUACUGAUCCAGGCUAUGUAACCCACCUAAUUGAAGCCAGGCUUAUUUUAGUCCCCUUAUGGGUCCCCACGAGAUUCACCAAGAGAGUGUGUAUGACACAUUUCAUUGUCAAGCUUCUUGCAAUCAGUGAGGUAGCUGUUCACACAAGGUUUCUGGUUUACCGUCACGGGGACCUGGUAAAGUGGCACAUUCUCAAUUAACUGCUGAACCAUUUUCUUCUAUGUAGACAUGUAACUGUACGAUUAGACAUCUUAAACAUUAAAAAAUAAAUAGCCAUCACCGUUUAAAUAUUCAAAUAAGGCUAUAACCUAGUCUUCGAAUGGAUAAAUAGGUGGUUACAGGAUGCACUUCAGAAGCGGUUCAUUUUGCAAUGCUGUGACUAAACAAAACAAUGUUUGAUUCUCACAUUACCUGUAAAUCACAGGAUGACACCUUGUUCUUAGCUUCACAUGAAGUCACGGCGUCCUUCAGCUUGCCAUGUAGAACUGCGCCAGAGUCACAGAUCUCAUCUACAUCCAACAUAUCAGCAACAAGCGUAGCCUCACCAGUUAUCUGCAAAUAUUUCAUUAAAAAAGUCAGUACAAAGUGCACACACUUAACUUCAGUCACUUUCCGUGGAAUUGACAUUGAUAAACCACAACACACCCGCCUUUACAUUUUACCACCAAAGCUUACCUGGUCAAUCAAUGGUGGGCUACAGCUGGAGGCCAUUUCAGUGUCUACAGUGUCUGUUCCAGUAGGGAUGGCCACAGCAGUGACCUGCAAAAAUUAUUUAACAUCACACAUACAGAUAAAGUGCUUAAAUUAAUAUUUCAUGGAGAAUACAGUGACUUCAAGUUUUCUCUCUCCAAAACCAGUCAACAAAAGAAACAGACUUUAAACCUUGACCAUGACAUUAUACUGCCAAAUCAUUUGAUAUCAAUAUACCUACAUCCUGUAACCACCUACAUAUCACAUUACCAACUGUCAACUUCAGUCACUAUCUUUGAUAAACCACAACACACCCUCCUUUCUAUUUUACCAACAAAGCUUACCUGGUCAAUCAGAUGUGAACUUGAGCUAGAGGCCAUUCCAGUGUCCACAGUGUCUGUUCCAGUAUGUCUGGCCACAGCAGUAACCUGCACAGAUUGCUUAACAUAACUUAUGCAGAUAAUGUGCUUAAAAUAAUGUAUUUCAUAGGGAAUACCACUGAAUACAAACCUUUUCUCUCCAAGGCCAAUCAUUGUUUCCAUAAUUGUAGGUAAUUUCUUCCCCAGUGCUGAUGUUUUUGAGGGCAAAUAUGCAAAGAUGUGGCUUUCCGUCAACGAUGAUUCGUUUUAUUUUACAAUUAGGACUUUUACAGUCAUCAUUUAUGAGCCUUCCCAGGGAUCCAUCCUCCAAACUUGCGUCAAUGCUUCCAAUGUUGUACAGAAAGGGCAAUUCAGUGCUAUGUCAUUUGCAUUAAUAACUUCUUUAAAAAGAAUCAAUCACACAGAAUGUAAUAUUUUAAAUAUUCUACAGAUACAGCUUUACUUCCUGCUGCGUGUCAUUUUAGAACUUGCAAGUUCUAGGUUUCCUACCUUGAAAUUGCACUGCAGGUUAACAUAGGCAAUAGGAGGAAAAAAAAACAUGUAGAAA